AACGCAUCUUGCGCUCCAUGGUAUUCCGUGGAGCAUGCCUGUUCGAGUGUCACGUCAAUCAUCAUCCUUGCGACGUUAAAAUUGCAAGUGGUGGACUUGGACCGUGCCGUAGUUGGCUCGUCCUGAAAUGCAUUAGCUUGCGCUUUUAGAGUGCUGGGCAACGGUGUGAUAAUUAUCUGCGCCAACGCCUUAUAGCCUCUUCAGCGGCGCUGCUUACAGCCGUCCUGACGGACAACUAAUACCAAGCUUUGGCCUCGAAUCAGGUAGGACUACCCGCUGAACUUAA
rnacentral:misc_RNA from 1 species